rnacentral:rRNA from 1 species
UUCUCCUACGGGACGCAGCAGUGGGGAAUAUUGCACAAUGGGGGAAACCCUGAUGCAGCGACGCCGCGUGAGCGAUGAAGUAUGUCGGUAUGUAAAGCUCUAUCAGCAGGGAGGAAAAUGACGGUACCUGACUAAGAAGCCCCGGCUAACUACGUGCCAGCAGCCGCGGUAAUACGUAGGGGGCAAGCGUUAUCCGGAUUUACUGGGUGUAAAGGGAGCGUAGACGGCUCGGCAAGCCAGAUGUGAAA